rnacentral:rRNA from 1 species
AGAGUUUGAUCCUGGCUCAGGAUGAACGCUGGCGGCGUGCCUAACACAUGCAAGUCGAACGGGAACCUUGCGACGGAGACUUCGGUUGAAGAUGCAAGAAUUCUAGUGGCGGACGGGUGAGUAACGCGUGGGUAACCUGCCCUUAAGAGGCGAAUAACAGUGAGAAAUCACUGCUAAUACGCCAUAUGCUUACGGAAUCGCAUGAUUUUGUGAGGAAAAGAAUUUCGCUUAAGGAUGGACCCGCGUUUGAUUAGCCAGUUGGUAGGUAACGGCCUACCAAAGCAACGAUCAAUAGCCGGCCUGAGAGGGUGAACGGCCACAUUGGAACUGAGACACGGUCCAAACUCCUACGGGAGGCAGCAGUGGGGAAUAUUGGGCAAUGGGCGAAAGCCUGACCCAGCAACGCCGCGUGAGGGAAGAAGGUUUUCGGAUUGUAAACCUCUGUCCUAAAGGACGAAGGAAGUGACGGUACUUUAGGAGGAAGCCCCGGCUAACUACGUGCCAGCCGCCGC